rnacentral:lncRNA from 1 species
CUCCUCAUGAUCCUCUCUAGCAAAGCCCUCAAAGCUCACCUCCCCCAUCUCUCUGCUGUGCAGCUGUUGGCUGUUGGCUUCUUUAUGAUCACAGUUAACUGGGAGCAGGGUCAGCGUUUGGGGGUUAACCAGUCUUGAGUUCUACAAAUUAGCAUUAAAUAAAAGCAGAAUUAGACUAAUACACUACAGGGAUUUCUUUAGUUUUGUUUUGGUGUAAGUUUUCUUUUAUCUUUUCACUUUCUACUUUAUUUUAGGCUAUUUUUUUAUUAAUUGGUUAUUUUAUUUAUUUAUAUUUCAAAUGUUUUCCUGCUUUCCAGACUGCCCUCAUCAAAUCUUAAAUCCCAUUUCUGCUCAGCUUUGCCCAUAUCACAGUGCUCCCCCACCCACACAUAUCCAUUCCCACCUCACAACUCCAGGAUCUCCUUUUGGUGGGGCAACAGGCCUCUGUGUAGUCAAUGGCCUCUCCCCACAUGGAUGCCUCUUAAGUCAGUCCUCUUCUACACAGUUACCUAGAACCAUAGACCCAUCCUUGUAUACACUUUUGCUGGCAGUUUUGUCCCUAGGAACUGGGGGAUUGGUGACAGAGGGUCUGGUUAGAUAUUAAAGACCAAUGGUUGCUGCUGUCUCUUCUUUUUCUGGUUGUAGGUGAAAUUAUGUUUGUGUGCUUCUCUUUUUUUUUUUAAAUUAUUGUGAGGUGAUUAAUUUCUUGGUUUUGUUCUUGGGUAUAGUUUAGCUCAUUGUCUUGGAGUUUUCCUCCUAUUAUCCUCGGUUAUGCUUUCUUAGAGAAAAAAUAUUGUUUAAAUUUGGAUUUGUCAUAAAUUAUCUUGGUUUCUCCAUUCGUGGUGAUUGCGAAUUAUGCUGGGCAUAAGAACCUGGGUCUGCAUUACAUCUGUCCAGGAUUUUUGGCUUUUUGAGUCUCUGUUGAGCAGUCUGGUGUAAUUCAGAUAGGUCUGAAUUCAUUUCUUACUGGAUAUUUAUACCUUACCCCGUAUAAUAUUCUUUCUUUUAUCUGUGCAUUUAGUGUUUUAAUUAUUAUGUGAAUGGAG